AACGCUAGCUACAGGCUUAACACAUGCAAGUCGAGGGGCAGCAUUUUUAGUUUGCUUGCAAACUGAAGAUGGCGACCGGCGCACGGGUGAGUAACACGUAUCCAACCUGCCGAUAACUCCGGGAUAGCCUUUCGAAAGAAAGAUUAAUACCGGAUAGUAUACGAAUAUCGCAUGAUAUUUUUAUUAAAGAAUUUCGGUUAUCGAUGGGGAUGCGUUCCAUUAGUUUGUUGGCGGGGUAACGGCCCACCAAGACUACGAUGGAUAGGGGUUCUGAGAGGAAGGUCCCCCACAUUGGAACUGAGACACGGUCCAAACUCCUACGGGAGGCAGCAGUGAGGAAUAUUGGUCAAUGGGCGCGAGCCUGAACCAGCCAAGUAGCGUGAAGGAUGAAGGCUCUAUGGGUCGUAAACUUCUUUUAUAUGGGAAUAAAGUUUUCCACGUGUGGAAUUUUGUAUGUACCAUAUGAAUAAGGAUCGGCUAACUCCGUGCCAGCAGCCGCGGUAAUACGGAGGAUCCGAGCGUUAUCCGGAUUUAUUGGGUUUAAAGGGAGCGUAGGUGGAUUGUUAAGUCAGUUGUGAAAGUUUGCGGCUCAACCGUAAAAUUGCAGUUGAAACUGGCAGUCUUGAGUACAGUAGAGGUGGGCGGAAUUCGUGGUGUAGCGGUGAAAUGCUUAGAUAUCACGAAGAACUCCGAUUGCGAAGGCAGCUCACUAGACUGUCACUGACACUGAUGCUCGAAAGUGUGGGUAUCAAACAGGAUUAGAUACCCUGGUAGUCCAUACAGUAAACGAUGAAUACUCGCUGUUUGCGAUAUACAGUAAGCGGCCAAGCGAAAGCAUUAAGUAUUCCACCUGGGGAGUACGCCGGCAACGGUGAAACUCAAAGGAAUUGACGGGGGCCCGCACAAGCGGAGGAACAUGUGGUUUAAUUCGAUGAUACGCGAGGAACCUUACCCGGGCUUAAAUUGCAACAGAAUAUAUUGGAAACAGUAUAGCCGUAAGGCUGUUGUGAAGGUGCUGCAUGGUUGUCGUCAGCUCGUGCCGUGAGGUGUCGGCUUAAGUGCCAUAACGAGCGCAACCCUUAUCUUUAGUUACUAACAGGUUAUGCUGAGGACUCUAGAGAGACUGCCGUCGUAAGAUGUGAGGAAGGUGGGGAUGACGUCAAAUCAGCACGGCCCUUACGUCCGGGGCUACACACGUGUUACAAUGGGGGGUACAGAAGGCGGCUACCUGGUGACAGGAUGCUAAUCCCAAAAACCUCUCUCAGUUCGGAUCGAAGUCUGCAACCCGACUUCGUGAAGCUGGAUUCGCUAGUAAUCGCGCAUCAGCCAUGGCGCGGUGAAUACGUUCCCGGGCCU
rnacentral:rRNA from 1 species